CAGUAGCCGCGGGAAUACGUAGGUCCCGAGCGUUGUCCGGAUUUAUUGGGCGUAAAGGGAGUGCAAGCGGUUUAGUAAGUCUGAAGUUAAAGGCAUUGGCUCAACCAAUGUAUGCUCUGGAAACUGUUAGACUUGAGUGCAGAAGGGGAGAGUGGAAUUCCAUGUGUAGCGGUGAAAUGCGUAGAUAUAUGGAGGAACACCGGUGGCGAAAGCGGCUCUCUGGUCUGUCACUGACGCUGAGGCUCGAAAGCAUGGGUAGCGAACAGGAUUAGAUACCCCCGUAGUCCCUGUCUCUUAUACC
rnacentral:rRNA from 1 species